rnacentral:RNase_P_RNA from 1 species
CCGGUGAACCGGGCGGCCGCGCUACGGGCAUCUUCGGAUGCCCUUAGUGAGGAAAGUCCGGACUCCACAGGGCUGGGCGGUUGGUAACGCCAACCCGGGGCGACCCGAGGGAAAGUGCCACAGAGAACAGACCGCCGAUGACCCGCUUCGGCGGGCACAGGCAAGGGUGAAACGGUGCGGUAAGAGCGCACCGCGCCCGUGGUGACACGGGCGGCACGGCAAACCCCGCCCGGAGCAAGGCCAAAUAAGCAGGGAGCGCCGGCCCGGCGCACUCGACCUGCGGGUAGGCCGCAAAGAGCGGCGCGGCGACGCGCCGACAAGAUUAAUGGCCGCCGCCGCGCGGAAGCGCGGCACAGAAUCCGGCUUACAGGUUCACCGUUUGA